GAUGGAAAGGAAGCCCUGAAUAUGUACGAUCUCAUCUGAUCUCAUAAGAAAAACAAGGUCAGACAUGGUUAGUACUUGGAUGAGAGAACACAGAAAGGAACCUCCGGCCUCCUCCACCC
rnacentral:rRNA from 1 species